GCGCGCUUAGUUCAUCUGGAAGAACACACGGCUACGAACCGUGAGGUGGUGGGUUCGACUCCCGCAGUGCGUACCA
rnacentral:tRNA from 1 species